rnacentral:rRNA from 1 species
UACAGAGGUCUCAAGCGUUGUUCGGAUUCAUUGGGCGUAAAGGGUGCGUAGGCGGCGCGGUAAGUCGGGUGUGAAAUCUCGGAGCUUAACUCCGAAACUGCAUUCGAUACUGCCGUGCUUGAGGACUGGAGAGGAGACUGGAAUUCCCGGUGUAGCGGUGAAAUGCGUAGAUAUCGUGAGGAACACCAGAGGCGAAGGCGGUUACCUGGACAGUUACUGACGCUCAGGCACGAAAGCAUGGGGGAGCAAAAGG